AAGGGUAUAGCUCAGUGGUACAGUGGAUGAUUAGUAUGCAUAAGGUCCUGGGUUCAAUCCCCAGUACCUCCA
rnacentral:tRNA from 1 species